rnacentral:misc_RNA from 1 species
UUCCUCUAGGCUUGCAUUUACACACAAGCUCAAGCAACCUACCCGAACUCUCGGCGGGCCACCGAUUGAGUUCCUAUUUGGUCUUGCUACGAGUGGAGUUUACCUAGCUGCCAAAUGUUACCACUGGCACGGUGCGCUCUUACCGCACCCUUUCACCCUUACCAGCCAAAGCUGGCGGUCUGCUCUCUGUUGCACUAGUCGUAGGCUCGCGCCCCCCGGACGUUAUCCGGCG